rnacentral:tRNA from 1 species
GGGACCUUAGCUCAGCUGGGAGAGCGCCACACUCACAUUGUGGAGGCCACUGGUUCGAGUCCAGUAGGUCCCACCA